UCUCAACCAGCUAAAAUAAUCGUGGCGUCGUUCUUUAAGUCCUCUCCAGAACAAUAUGGAGUAUUGUGUCCACCAGCUUGCUCCCCAUUCUCUCUUUGAGGUAACUACUUUUGACUUCAAUUCCUCAUCAAUCAUCAUGGGAGCCAAAAGUUUCUUUUUUUCGCUCUCAGCAACUCGCGUUUCAUAUGCUUCCACUAGAUACUGUUAAAAAUCGAAAAAGAAAAUACAGUGAGGAUUCAUAUAGUCGACCCAAGCUUGUUGUAGAUUGAAGAAGAUUUGUUGUUGAUAUAUUGUUUUGAAAAAUAGUUGAGCUCUUUCUAUGACUUAGUUGUGUUCCAAGACAUAGAGGUGAUCUAUCUGGUUCUCUGCAUUUUUUAUAUGUAAACGACUCUCCAAAAAUGUUGUUGCACCUGUGUCGGAUCCUCCAACAAUGCACUAUUUAUCGAGGAUACGACAUGAAUCCAUCAACAUUUUUAAAGAGAUCGAGCAAAUAAGGCCGAAAAACUCAAAAAGUCAAAAAGGAGCAGAAAACAAAAAUUAGAUUUUAUGCUAAGUGAUAGGUUGAGUUAUUUUUUCCUCUGAGAUGAUUAAAAAACUUAUGUACUUGAGGAUGAAAAAUGUAAGUUGCUCGGAUUCUUUCAAAAUGAUGCUCCCCCCAUAUCAGAUCAUCCAAAAUUCGACAAUGCACUAUUUUUGGAGGAUCCGACACGACUGGUUUAAUGUACCAAAAUGUCCUUUCAUGUUGCAGUCUUAAACAUGACGUGUGGAAAGUUAGAACGAAAGAGUUGUCAAAAAAAUGGAAAGAGACAUACAUUCCUUUUGAAACGGAAAGUAAGAUAAACAAAUUAAAACGGAGAGAGUCGUAGAAUUUACUCACCUCAUGCACAAUUGCUGGUGAUGGUUUUCCAUUCCUUGUUUCAGUAUCUGAAUUCCCAAUCUGUACUUUGUCCUCCAACUCUGAUGGAACGGAAACAUCGUUUAAGUUUCCGUUCGCGAGAUCCAGCAGAAAUUCUGCUGGAUUCAUUGAUAUCAAAGGUGUACAUCCUAUAGUUGAAAAAUAGUCCAUUGCCUCAGAUGCCUUCCCAAAGUAAAGUAAACUCCCUUUGCCAAGAAGAAUCAACUUAUCAAACUUGUGGAAAAGUCUACUAGACGGUUGAUGGAUCGUUGUGAUCACCGUCUUUCCAGCCUAUAACCACAGCAUUGUAAGGACAUAUAACUCGUGCUAUGACGAUAUCUAAGAUGAAAACACAGAGAAAGUCAUACCUCAGCGAUAUCGUGUAGUAUCUCAACUGUCCUUAAAGCUGUCGUUGAAUCCAAACCGGAUGUAGGUUCAUCGAGGAACAAUAAGGAGGGGUUGAUUAUGAUCUCAUUUCCAAUACAGACGCGUUUUCUUUCUCCUCCUGAUACUCCACGAACGAAGGAGCCACCGAUCAUUGUAUCUUGGCAUCUGUAAAAACAUCACAUUCCUUAUUCAGCUUUCACAACAUGAACUCAGUAAGCUACCUUUUUCUUAGAAUUCAGAACUCAUAAACUCAAAAUCAUGGUUCCGUCUCUGAUCACAUGAAGAAACAAUUAGUUACCUCUCUAGUCCUAGCUCGUAUAUCACAUCGAUGGCUCGUUUUUGUUUCUCCUCCUUCGUCAGUUUCUUUGGUAGUCGUAGGCGUGCUGCAUACGUUAAUGUUUCUCUCACUGUCAAGUGAGGAAAUAGUAUAUCAUCUUGAGUCACAAAUCCAAUCCUGCCAAGAAUUUCACAUUCAUAUGUUACAUUCGAGUGAAAGAAAAUCAAUCGAAUUCUUCAAAAAUGCACUACGUCCCGGAGGGAUCCACUAGGGUUGGUGAAAUGUUUGCUAUGUUGCUCACGACUCUCCAAAAACGUUGUAGCGCCUUUGUUAGAUUCUCCAAAAACAAAAUGUACUAAUUCUAGAGGAUCCGACAGGCAUCGGUCAACAUUUUUUUCUAGAGUCCGAGCAACAUAGUCACUUGAUGAAUAUUGUCUAUAUAUGUUGUUCAGACUCUCACCAAAAACGUUGUCGCACCUAUGUCAGAUCCUCCGAAAAUUAUCUACUUUUGGAGGAUCCAACAUCAUACCAGUCAACAUUUUUGAAGAAUCCGAACAACAUAGUCACUUGAUGAAUAUUGACUAUAAAUAUUGUUCAGACUCUCCAAAAAUGUUUCCGUGCUAUGUCAGAUCCUCCAAAAUGCACUAAUUCUGGAGGAUCCGUGCAUCACACCAGUCGAUAUGUUGUUGUUCAGACUCUCUAAAAAUGUUGUCACACGUAUGUUAGAUCCUCCAGAAAUGCACUUAUUCUGGAGGAUCCAACAUCACACCAGUCGACAUUUCUGAAGAGUCUGAACAACAUAAAAGACCCGCCUACUGAAUUCCGGAGUGUAAUUCAAUCACCUGCUCUUUAAAUGCUUUGAAUAUGGUUGUUCAUUGUAAGUGAUUGAACCUCCUGUUGGCUCUUUCACCCUCCCUCCAAGCAGGCUGAGCAACGUCGUUUUUCCGCUACCGGAAGGUCCCAUCAUGGCUAAAACUUCCCCUGGAUCAACAGAACCACUUAUUCCUGUCAAAAUUUCCUUCUCUCUUGUUGAUGUUACACCUUUGAUAACCACCUUGUAACAUACCUCAGUAAACUGCA
rnacentral:lncRNA from 1 species